UACGGAGGGUGCAAGCGUUAUCCGGAUUCACUGGGUUUAAAGGGUGCGUAGGCGGCGCGGUAAGUCGGGUGUGAAAUCUCGGAGCUUAACUCCGAAACUGCAUUCGAUACUGCCGUGCUUGAGGACUGGAGAGGAGACUGGAAUUUACGGUGUAGCGGUGAAAUGCGUAGAUAUCGUAAGGAAGACCAGUGGCGAAGGCGGGGUCUCUGGACAGUUCCUGACGCUGAGGCACGAAGGCCAGGGGAGCAAAACGGG
rnacentral:rRNA from 1 species